UACGAAGGGGGCUAGCGUUGUUCGGAAUUACUGGGCGUAAAGGGCGCGUAGGCGGUGUGUCAAGUCAGGCGUGAAAGCCCCGGGCUCAACCUGGGAACCGCGCUUGAGACUGGCACGCUCGAGUUCGGGAGAGGAUGGUGGAAUUCCCAGUGUAGAGGUGAAAUUCGUAGAUAUUGGGAAGAACACCGAUGGCGAAGGCAGCCAUCUGGACCGACACUGACGCUGAGGCGCGAAAGCGUGGGGAGCAAACCGG
rnacentral:rRNA from 1 species